rnacentral:rRNA from 1 species
UCUACCCAAGGCCGACACGCAUCGCGUUCUCAUGGGGCCUCCGCGCCGCACACACUUCACGCCGUCAGCGCUGGAACCCGCGGCCAGACACUACAACGUCACAACACACAACCUCUACACCACACCCGCAAAUUCACGGCGCGAUNCCAACUCUCAGAGCUCGACUCCCAUCACGCGGCCGCGCACCAUCCGCCCACACCCCAAAUACUAACCCGAACGNACGUCAACCACGGAACCCCCACCCGCGCACGAGCUCCCUGACCGCAGGGAGAGCGCCGGGGAACGGAGGAAGNCAAAGNAGCGGCCGGGAGGACGGCGAGUGGACCAGACGAGGGGAGACAAGCGACGGUGCGCGGGGUCGGGGCAAGCGGGGCGGGAGAGUGAUAUGGAAGAAGAGGGUGACGUAGGCGGNCAUGGGAGACGGAGGAGAAAACCCGCAUGGUAGGGGCACGACAUAAGGUGGGGGGUGUANGAUAGGUGCAGUACAAAACCCGCAGGAAANUGGCGAUACGUCAAGUCCGCUAUGGCGCGUUCCGGCCAGGGCUGCAUACGUCAUAAAAUCCCAGGUACAAAGGGAAGCAAGACAGUCAGUGUGAGCCAUCCCCAGAAAACCGGGCCCAGUUCAGAUUGUUGUUUGCAACUCGACGGAUGGCAGUUGGAAUCGCUCGUAAUGGCGCGUCAGCUACGGCGCCGUGAAUAGUUUCCCAGGCUUGGUACACACCGCCCGUCACAUCAUGGAAGCCGGCGCCUCCGGAAGUGCCUGAGGCAACCGCAAGGAGGCAGGGCCGUAAGCUGUAGCUGGUAACUGGGNCGAAGUCGUANGGGGAAAAAUG